rnacentral:rRNA from 1 species
CGGGGAAUCAGAGUUCGAUUCCGGAGAGGGAGCAUGAGAAAUGGCUACCACAUCUACGGAAGGCAGCAGGCGCGCAAAUUACCCACUCCUAGAUCGGGGAGGUAGUGACGAAAAAUAACAAUACCGGACUCAAUGAGGCUCGGUAAUUGAAAUGAGUACGGUUUAAAACCCUUAACGAGGAUCUAUUGGAGGGCAAGUCUGGUGCCAGCAGCCGCGGUAAUUCCAGCUCCAAUAGCGUAUAUUAAAGUUGUUGCAGUUAAAAAGCUCGUAGUUGGAUCUCGGGUACUAGCAUGUGGUACGCUUUAUUGCCGUUACUGCUUGUCUAGUCCUAAUCAAUCGGUUGGCCGUUUAUGCCCUUUAUUGGGUGUUUUCGGUAGCCGGUACGUUUACUUUGAGAAAAUUAGAGUGCUUAAAGCAGGCUUUACGCCUGAAUAAUGUUGCAUGGAAUAAUAGAAUAGGACCUCGGUUCUAUUUUGUUGGUUUUGUAGAGCAUUGAGGUAAUGAUUAAUAGGGACAGACGGGGGCAUUCGUAUUGCGGUGUUAGAGGUGAAAUUCUUGGAUCGCCGCAAGACGAACAACUGCGAAAGCAUUUGCCAAGAAUGUUUUCAUUAAUCAAGAACGAAAGUUGGAGGUUCGAAGACGAUUAGAUACCGUCCUAGUUCCAACCAUAAACGAUGCCAACUAGCGAUUAGCUGCUGUUAAUUAAACGACACAGCUAGCAGCUUCCGGGAAACCAAAGUUUUUGGGUUCCGGGGGAAGUAUGGUUGCAAAGCUGAAACUUAAAGGAAUUGACGGAAGGGCACCACCAGGAGUGGAGCCUGCGGCUUAAUUUGACAACACGGGAAAUCUCACCCGGCCCGGACACUGUAAGGAUUGACAGAUUGAGAGCUCUUUCUUGAUUCGGUGGGUGGUGGUGCAUGGCCGUUCUUAGUUGGUGGAGCGAUUUGUCUGGUUAAUUCCGAUAACGAACGAGACUCUAGCCUGCUAAAUAGUACGCCGAUCCUUAGUCGGCGCGUACUUCUUAGAGGGACAAGUAGCGGUUAGCUACACGAAAUUGAGCAAUAACAGGUCUGUGAUGCCCUUAGAUGUUCGGGGCCGCACGCGCGCUACACUGAAGGGAUAAGCGUGUUCUUCCUGCUCCGAAAGGAGUGGGUAACCCGCUGAAACCCCUUCGUGAUUGGGAUCGGGGCUUGAAAUUAUUCUCCGUGAACGAGGAAUUCCCAGUAAGCGCGAGUCAUAAGCUCGCGUUGAUUACGUCCCUGCCCUUUGUACACACCGCCCGUCGCUACUACCGAUUGAAUGGUUUAGUGAGAUCUUCGGAUUGGUCCGGAUGACCGCAAGGUUGCCUAGGUUCCGAGAAGAUGAUCAAACUUGAUCAUUUAGAGGAAGUAAAAGUCGUAACAAGGUU